UACUCGCUAAUACUGUAGGUACACAACUGCCUCACUGCUUUGGCUGCUUCACUUUGAAACCGCAGAUCAGUUCUAAGCCAGCUGGGAAGAUCGUUGACUCCCGUUUACAGUUGCCGCUUUCGCGGGCAAUACGUCGUGCUGGGAAAUGAUAUUUUUUUCAAAAAAAUGUACAGGGCAUAGAGAUCGGAAAAAAAAGAUAACAUGCGGAUUAAUAUACUGAGCACACUCUCAUUACAAUUAGGCGGGCCGCAUCACAGAAAACAUGAAAUACGUGCGCCACUCAACUGAAGAGAAAUGAAGCUGGCCUGGUUACAGCACAGCAAUUAGAUUUUAGAGCACAACAAGUGGAGCGACAGCACCGCCUAGUGGACAGUCGCAUGAAGUACACCUAAAAGGCAUUGCGGCUCCUUUGAUUUUUCACGGAAUCAUUGAAGAACUAGUUGAUAUGCAUGUUAAGAAACGGAACACAAAAGGAGCUCCAGUGAGAUCUCAAUAAAUGCUAUAGGUUGCUUUACAUACAAUUAUUCAGAACUGUCAGCUAGAUUUGCUUGAUGUAUAGUGCACUUUAAAAAAAUCCUCAAGUCCAGUGCUGUCCCAGCGAGUCUACGUAUGUGUAAAAGUUAGAUGAUAGUUUGAAACUUACACUCUUGCUAUUGAACAGAAAGCACUCAGCCAAUUCUACAUAAUUUACUUGAAAAGGCUUUCUAAAACAAAUGUAAGCUAUACAAUUGAUUACAUAUGUACUAAAAUGGAAAAAUAUAUAUUCAGAUUUUAUAAUCCGAAUGGGAGGUAUGUGGUUAUAGGGAUGGUGGGGAAGUGGGGGAGGUGGGAUGAGAGAGAUGUGUUACUCUACGCGUGUUCAAAGACAAAGAAAUAAACAGAGAAACAGAGGCCACACUAUUAACUAAUAUUAAAUAUUUGGUAAGAUUCAAAUUUGUUUUCCAUAGACCGAGAAAUGUCAUUUGGAUGUGUUGUACAUGCUGCUACUGAUUUUGCUGGAAUUUGUGAAUAAAUUUACAUGCACAUGUGUGCGGGGUCAGAAACAUUAACUUGGACGUACAAAAUUAAAAAAAUUCAUAAGCAGG